rnacentral:misc_RNA from 1 species
AACGCACGAGACCUGCGGACCUGCGGAAGGAUCAUUACCGAGUUUACAACUCCCAAACCCCUGUGAACAUACCACUUGUUGCCUCGGCGGAUCAGCCCGCUCCCGGUAAAACGGGACGGCCCGCCAGAGGACCCCUAAACUCUGUUUCUAUAUGUAACUUCUGAGUAAAACCAUAAAUAAAUCAAAACUUUCAACAAUGGAUCUCU